ACAGCUGGGUGGGGCAGAGGUUAUCCUUGACAUCUCCCUCCAGCCCCCCUUCUCAUUGCUGGAGCCUCCUGUUGCCCUCGGAGUCCCUUCCAGCUUCUUCCCACUUUCGGCAACAGCCCCCACCCCCAACAAACCUAAUGCUACCAAGAUGCCUUGUUUCAAAAUGAAGUGAUUCCAGCACAGUCAUUCAUGCUGGGUGGUAGCAACUCAGUGAGCUGCCCUUCUAAUAGAUCAUUGUACCUUGAAGAGAAGGCGAUGCUCAACCUGCAGGUGGAAUGUUUAUUGUAUCUCAGAACGCAGAGGAAAACUCCCGCAUCUCCAUCACCUUCUUCCGCCUGUUCCGGGUCAUGCGUCUGGUGAAGCUGCUGAGCCGUGGGGAGGGCAUCCGGACGCUGCUGUGGACCUUCAUCAAGUCCUUCCAGGCCCUGCCCUAUGUGGCCCUCCUGAUCGUGAUGCUGUUCUUCAUCUACGCGGUGAUCGGGAUGCAGGUGUUUGGGAAAAUUGCCCUGAAUGAUACCACAGAGAUCAACCGGAACAACAACUUUCAGACCUUCCCCCAGGCCGUGCUGCUCCUCUUCAGGUGUGCCACCGGGGAGGCCUGGCAGGACAUCAUGCUGGCCUGCAUGCCAGGCAAGAAGUGUGCCCCAGAGUCCGAGCCCAGCAACAGCACGGAGGGUGAAACACCCUGUGGUAGCAGCUUUGCUGUCUUCUACUUCAUCAGCUUCUACAUGCUCUGUGCCUUCCUGAUCAUCAACCUCUUUGUAGCUGUCAUCAUGGACAACUUUGACUACCUGACAAGGGACUGGUCCAUCCUUGGUCCCCACCACCUGGAUGAGUUUAAAAGAAUCUGGGCAGAGUAUGACCCUGAAGCCAAGGGUCGUAUCAAACACCUGGAUGUGGUGACCCUCCUCCGGCGGAUUCAGCCGCCACUAGGUUUUGGGAAGCUGUGCCCUCACCGCGUGGCUUGCAAACGCCUGGUCUCCAUGAACAUGCCUCUGAACAGCGACGGGACAGUCAUGUUCAAUGCCACCCUGUUUGCCCUGGUCAGGACGGCCCUGAGGAUCAAAACAGAAGGGAACCUAGAACAAGCCAAUGAGGAGCUGCGGGCGAUCAUCAAGAAGAUCUGGAAGCGGACCAGCAUGAAGCUGCUGGACCAGGUGGUGCCCCCUGCAGGUGAUGAUGAGGUCACCGUUGGCAAGUUCUACGCCACGUUCCUGAUCCAGGAGUACUUCCGGAAGUUCAAGAAGCGCAAAGAGCAGGGCCUUGUGGGCAAGCCCUCCCAGAGGAACGCGCUGUCUCUGCAGGCUGGCUUGCGCACACUGCAUGACAUCGGGCCUGAGAUCCGACGGGCCAUCUCUGGAGAUCUCACCGCUGAGGAGGAGCUGGACAAGGCCAUGAAGGAGGCUGUGUCCGCUGCUUCUGAAGAUGACAUCUUCAGGAGGGCCGGUGGCCUGUUCGGCAACCACGUCAGCUACUACCAAAGCGACGGCCGGAGCGCCUUCCCCCAGACCUUCACCACUCAGCGCCCGCUGCACAUCAACAAGGCGGGCAGCAGCCAGGGCGACACUGAGUCGCCAUCCCACGAGAAGCUGGUGGACUCCACCUUCACCCCGAGCAGCUACUCGUCCACCGGCUCCAACGCCAACAUCAACAACGCCAACAACACCGCCCUGGGUCGCCUCCCUCGCCCCGCCGGCUACCCCAGCACGGUCAGCACUGUGGAGGGCCACGGGCCCCCCUUGUCCCCUGCCAUCCGGGUGCAGGAGGUGGCGUGGAAGCUCAGCUCCAACAGGUGCCACUCCCGGGAGAGCCAGGCAGCCAUGGCGGGUCAGGAGGAGACGUCUCAGGAUGAGACCUAUGAAGUGAAGAUGAACCAUGACACGGAGGCCUGCAGUGAGCCCAGCCUGCUCUCCACAGAGAUGCUCUCCUACCAGGAUGACGAAAAUCGGCAACUGACGCUCCCAGAGGAGGACAAGAGGGACAUCCGGCAAUCUCCGAAGAGGGGUUUCCUCCGCUCUGCCUCACUAGGUCGAAGGGCCUCCUUCCACCUGGAAUGUCUGAAGCGACAGAAGGACCGAGGGGGAGACAUCUCUCAGAAGACAGUCCUGCCCUUGCAUCUGGUUCAUCAUCAGGCAUUGGCAGUGGCAGGCCUGAGCCCCCUCCUCCAGAGAAGCCAUUCCCCUGCCUCAUUCCCUAGGCCUUUUGCCACCCCACCAGCCACACCUGGCAGCCGAGGCUGGCCCCCACAGCCCGUCCCCACCCUGCGGCUUGAGGGGGUCGAGUCCAGUGAGAAACUCAACAGCAGCUUCCCAUCCAUCCACUGCGGCUCCUGGGCUGAGACCACCCCCGGUGGCGGGGGCAGCAGCGCCGCCCGGAGAGUCCGGCCCGUCUCCCUCAUGGUGCCCAGCCAGGCUGGGGCCCCAGGGAGGCAGUUCCACGGCAGUGCCAGCAGCCUGGUGGAAGCGGUCUUGAUUUCAGAAGGACUGGGGCAGUUUGCUCAAGAUCCCAAGUUCAUCGAGGUCACCACCCAGGAGCUGGCCGACGCCUGCGACAUGACCAUAGAGGAGAUGGAGAGCGCGGCCGACAACAUCCUCAGCGGGGGCGCCCCACAGAGCCCCAAUGGCGCCCUCUUACCCUUUGUGAACUGCAGGGACGCGGGGCAGGACCGAGCCGGGGGCGAAGAGGACGCGGGCUGUGUGCGCGCGCGGGGUCGACCGAGUGAGGAGGAGCUCCAGGACAGCAGGGUCUACGUCAGCAGCCUGUAGUGGGCGCUGCCAGAUGCGGGCUUUUUUUUAUUUGUUUCAAUGUUCCUAAUGGGUUCGUUUCAGAAGUG
rnacentral:misc_RNA from 1 species